AAUCAACGCUGGCGGCGUGCCUAACACAUGCAAGUCGAACGCGAAAGUCCCGCAAGGGAUAAGUAGAGUGGCAAACGGGUGAGUAACACGUGGGUGACCUGCCUUCGAGUGGGGGAUAACGUCCCGAAAGGGACGCUAAUACCGCAUGACAUCCUGCCUUUGAACAGGCGGAGAUCAAAGCUGGGGAUCGCAAGACCUAGCGCUUAAAGAGGGGCCCGCGUCUGAUUAGCUUAGNGGUGAGGUAACGGCUCACCAAGGCGACGAUCAGUAUCCGGCCUGAGAGGGCGGACGGACACACUGGGACUGAGACACGGCCCAGACUCCUACGGGAGGCAGCAGUGGGGAAUUGUUCGCAAUGGGCGCAAGCCUGACGACGCAACGCCGCGUGGAGGAUGAAGAUCUUCGGGUCGUAAACUCCUUUCGAUCGAGACGAACGGCUUCCGGGUGAACAAUCCGGAAGAGUGACGGUACCGAGAGAAGAACGCCCGG
rnacentral:rRNA from 1 species